rnacentral:rRNA from 1 species
GAUGAACGCUAGCGGCAGGCCUAAUACAUGCAAGACGAACGGUAAGUUGAGUAGCAAUACUUAGCCAAGAGUGUCGUACGGGUGCGUAACACGUAUGCAACCUACCCUAUACAGGAGGAUAGCCUAGGGAAACCUGGAUUAACCCUUCAUAGUAUUAUUGGAUGGCAUCAUUUGAUAAUUAAAACUGAGGUGGUAUAGGAUGGGCAUGCGUCUGAUUAGUUAGUUGGCGGGGUAAUGGCCCACCAAGACGAUGAUCAGUAGGGGUUCUGAGAGGAAGAUCCCCCCACACUGGCACUGAGAUACGGGCCAGACUCCUACGGGAGGCAGCAGUAGGGAAUAUUGGGUCAAUGGAUGCAAGUCUGAACCAGCCAUGCCGCGUGCAGGAAGAAGGCCUUCUGGGUUGUAAACUGCUUUUGCCAGGGGAUAAAAUUUCCAUGCGUGGAAAACUGAAGGUACCUGGUGAAUAAGCCACGGCUAACUACGUGCCAGCAGCCGCGGUAAU